UGUUCAGUCCAUGCCACUUUGAACAUGCCUGAUCUUGUCUGAUCUCGGAAGCUAAGCAAAGUCAGGCCUGAUUAGUACUUGGAUGUGAAUAAUGGAGAAGGUCUGUGAAGUCUAUAGAU
ensembl:rRNA 5S_rRNA 5S ribosomal RNA